GGCUUCGUAGCUCAACUGGUACAGCAUUUGUCGCGUUUUGGCAUGUCGUUUUUGUCGCUGGUUCGAAUCCAGUCGAAGUCC